rnacentral:lncRNA from 1 species
AUAGAAAUCCAAUCGAAAACAAUUAAUAAAAUUUCGCCGUGGGUAAUUGGUUGUAUUCCACAGCUGACAUGCAUGAAUCAGUUUUUUUUUUAUCAAACUCAUCAUGGAGCUGCAACAAGCUUCAUAAAUACUCCUGGUUCAAUUAAUGACAUUCAACUAAUGACCUGUCAUUCUGUACUAGUAAUUAUUUUGUGCCGAUUUACACCAUUUCCUGCACAAGUUUCCCACUUGCUGCCAGAUCGUUGCUAGCCUCCGCGACCACUUCUGAGGAGUAGGCAAUCUCCUGACCACUGAACUUCUGAACCAUUCAAACACCCCUUCCAUAUUUGCCUUUCCUUCAAAUAUGACUUGAUCCAACGGAUGAGGCACCAAUGGAUAAAAAUACAUAUUCCUCUCACGAUGGAUCAGACGGAUAGGUUACUCAGACCAGCAGCAGUGAGUGUGGUAGCAAGCUGCCACAUGGACCAGAAUGCUAACAGCGAGCGAAAGACCUCUCCUCCCUGUCACAGCCCCAUGAAUUGGCUCAGGCAGAUCAGAAACCCGAGCCUCCGCACAAAACAAAUCAAGAGAGUGACGGCUCAAGAGUAUAUGCUCUUGACCUAAGGGUAUAUAAA